rnacentral:rRNA from 1 species
UUGGAGGGCAAGUCUGGUGCCAGCAGCCGCGGUAAUUCCAGCUCCAAUAGCGUAUAUUAAAGUUGUUGCAGUUAAAAAGCUCGUAGUUGAAUUUCGGGAUCAAUAUAUCGGUCGUGCCUUCGGUACGUACUGGUAUCAUUGGUUUCUCCUUUCUGACGAACCAUGAUGUCAUUAAUUUGGUGUUAUGGGGAGUUAGGACUGUUACUUUGAAAAAUUAGAGUGUUUAAAGCAGGCAUUAGCUUGAAUACAUUAGCAUGGAAUAAUGAAAUAGGACGUUUGAUCCUAUUUUGUUGGUUUCUAGGAUUGACGUAAUGAUUAAUAGGGAUAGUUGGGGGCAUUAGUAUUCAAUUGUCAGAGGUGAAAUUCUUGGAUUUAUUGAAGACUAACUACUGCGAAAGCAUUUGCCAAGGAUGUUUUCAUUAAUCAAGAACGAAAGUUAGGGGAUCGAAGACGAUCAGAUACCGUCGUAGUCUUAACCAUAAACUAUGCCGACUAGGGAUCGGAUGAUGUUAAUUUUUUAAUGUACUCAUUCGGC